rnacentral:rRNA from 1 species
GAUGAACGCUAGCGGCAGGCCUAAUACAUGCAAGUCGAACGAGAUUAAGAGGCUUGCUUCUUAUGAAAGUGGCGCACGGGUGCGUAACGCGUAUGCAACCUACCUUCAUCAGGGGGAUAGCCCGAAGAAAUUCGGAUUAAGACCGCAUAAAAACACAGGAUAGCAUUAUCCAAUGUUCAAAUAUUUAUAGUAUUAAGAUGGGCAUGCGUGUCAUUAGCUAGUUGGCGGGGUAACGGCCCACCAAGGCGACGAUGACUAGGGGAUCUGAGAGGAUGACCCCCCAGACUGGCACUGAGACCCGGACCAGACUCCUACGGGAGGCAGCAGUAAGGAAUAUUGGUCAAUGGAGGGAACUCUGAACCAGCCAUGCCGCGUGCAGGAAGACAGCGCUCUGGGUCGUAAACUGCUUUUAUUCGGGAAUAAACCUUUCUACGUGUAGGAAGCUGAAUGUACCGAAGGAAUAAGGAUCGGCUAACUCCGUG